AUUUAAAAAAAAAAAAAAAAAAAAGUGAGCGAUUGCCUACAUAUGUGUUCACCAAGUGGGUGUGUGUCUGGUACCCAGGAAGGCAUUGGCUCCCCCGGGGUUGAGAUGAAAGUCACAGCUGUAAAGUUGUAAGCUGCCCUAUGAGUGUUGGAAACCCACCCCUGCUCCUCUGUAAAAACAGCAAAAAUUGUUCCUCUCCAGUCCCUCCCCUCCCCCCCAAUCUGGAACUUUUUAUCGAUUUUAUUUAUGGAAUUUAGCAAUUUGGGGAUUGUUUUGUUUUGUAGGUUUGUUUUCUUUUGUUGUUUGUUAAAGAAGAAAGACAAAGCUGAACAUAAUGCCUGUCAGCCCGGCACUCCGUAGUCCCAAGCCGUCCUGAACGACAGACUAAGGGACUCUUCUGGAGAAGGGGGAGGGGGACAUACAAGUCAACUACCUCAGCUCAAUUCUGUAAUUCGACAACCAGCUCAAGCUUCAAUUGCCCCCAAACUGAAGAUAACUGAGUCACUUCAAUUUUUGGCAGUUUUGACUACUUUGGGACUUCUCCCUAUCCAAAGCUGUGACAUCCCUGGGCCAAAAGAUUUCCAAGAGACAUAUUGCAAAAAAUGCCACCAAGAGAAUGAGAAGGAGGCUCACCAGCUCCUAGCCCUGCCUGAGGAGCUUAUGUGACAGUUGAUGGCUGCUGGAGUUUGGAGAGCGUUUUGUAGGUUCACUGGGCUCCAGUGGAUGCCUCCUCUCCCUCUGAAACAACCAGAAACCCACUUCCUACCUGGACUCUACCACUAGCUUCCUGAGUUACCCGAGGGCUACACCAAAACAUGCUACCUUAAAACAGCAGAAACCAACCAACCAACCAACCAACCAACCAAUAACAUUGGAGCUAGAGAGACUGCUCAGUGGCCCUGGCUUCAUUUCCUAAGGUCUCAUGUUCCAUCCCCAGCAUCCACAUGGUAGAUCACAACUGUCUGUAACUCCAGUUCCAGAAGAUGUACAGCCUCUAUGGGCCCCAGGCAUGAAAGUCAUUUAGAGACAUACAUGAUGGCCAAACUUCAUCUACUUAAAUGAAAUAUGAAAAAUACCAAGCCGGGCAGUGGUGGCUCACGCCUGUAAUCCCAGCACUUGGGAGGCAGAAGCAGGUGGAUUUCUGAGUUCUAGGCCAGCCUGGUCUACCGAGUGAGUUCCAGGACA